UCUGUCAUGAGGUUUGAAGGCUUACUUUCCCCCAAUUUGUGUCUGCAGCGCUGGUACCGGCAUGGAAAACUUGCAAUUUUUCUGUGAGAAGUUUUAAUCUUAUAUUGAUUCCAGUAAGUCGACAGUCAAGUUAAAAAUUCACUAUGAAGAUUUGGUUCAUGAUGUAUUCGAAAUUGAUUCAGUUUGAAGCUUAAACAUGGCGGUUGAACGAGACUAAUAAAAGAACAGCAUGGACUGGAGAAUAACAUAGGUUUUGGAAAUCGACGCAUGCAGGUUAUGGAAAUCUGGAAAUCGACUGGAUCCUAUCACAACUCAUUGAACUGAUGUAGCUUCAUUGAACAGCCUGCUACUCUGGAAUUUGCGAGUUCGCUACGAGCUUAUGGAAGUUGUAUCUUGAUGACAGUCUUCACUAGAGUUUGAUGUAUCUUGAUGACAGUCUUCAAUGGCUAAUUGUGAUUAGUUUCUAAACAUUCAAUUUGUAUUUCAGACCCGUGGAAUACUAAAGUUGUUGCAUUCUUUCUAAAGUUGUGACAGU